rnacentral:tRNA from 1 species
UGCAGAUAUAGCUUAGUGGUGUAAAGCUUGCCUAGAAUAUGUGAUGCCCUGGGUUCAAUCCCCAGUGCUGUAG